rnacentral:rRNA from 1 species
AUGUCCGAUCUUAGUCCUCUUUGGUACUUCCUUGAGAUUGAGGUUUCUUGUACCUCUAAUGACUUCUUUAUUUUUGAAAAGAAGUAUGUCCAGGAUCUUCUUACUCGUGCUACUCUUGCUGAUGAGUGCACUAUUGAGACUCGAGUCAACAUCCACCUUUGUGACCACCUCCGCUCCCUACCAGUCUGGAUGGGCAUCCUUUGCCUUGCUGCGGGUUGCUACAAGCACUGUCUCAAUCCCACAUCCUGUGUUCCCUUUGUGUGUGACACCAUAACCGCACGCUCGAGCACCACCAAUGGUGAGCAGGAGCUCGGACAGUCGACGCGUACCUGGAUUAUGCACGAGACGAGCCGAGGACAGGCGCUACCUAAAGUCGAGGCCAAGGGCGCACAGUAG